UGGCUUAGUUGGUAAAGCAUUUGUCUAGCGAAUAAAGGUCGUGAGUUCAAAUCUCAC
rnacentral:tRNA from 1 species